rnacentral:rRNA from 1 species
UUUUGACCUCGGAUCAGGUAGGGAUACCCGCUGAACUUAAGCAUAUCAAUAAGCCGGAGGAAGA